rnacentral:rRNA from 1 species
GAUAAACGCUGGCGGCGCACAUAAGACAUGCAAGUCGAACGGACUUAACCAUUAGUUUACUAUUGGAGCGGUUAGUGGCGGACUGGUGAGUAACACGUAAGCAACCUGCCUAUCAGAGGGGAACAACAGUUAGAAAUGACUGCUAAUACCGCAUAUGCCUUAAUUAUCACAUGAUAAUAGAGGGAAAGGAGCAAUCCGCUGAUAGAUGGGCUUGCGUCUGAUUAGAUAGUUGGUAAGGUAACGGCUCACCAAGGCGACGAUCAGUAGCCGACCUGAGAGGGUGACCGGCCACAUUGGGACUGAGACACGGCCCAA